rnacentral:rRNA from 1 species
GACGAACGCUGGCGGCAUGCCUAAUACAUGCAAGUCGAGCGAACAGAUGAAGUGCUUGCACUUCUGACGUUAGCGGCGAACGGGUGAGUAACACGUAAGGAAUCUACCUAUAAGCGGGGGAUAACAUUCGGAAACGGGUGCUAAUACCGCAUAAUAUCUUCUUCCGCAUGGAAGAAGAUUGAAAGACGGCUCUGCUGUCACUUAUAGAUGACCUUGCGGUGCAUUAGUUAGUUGGUGGGGUAAUGGCCUACCAAGACGAUGAGGCAUAGCCGACCUGGGAGGGUGAUCGGCCACAUUGGGACGGAGAAACGGCCCAAACUCCUACGGGAGGCAGCAGUAGGGAAUCUUCCGCAAUGGGCGAAAGCCUGACGGAGCAAUGCCGCGUGAGUGAAGAAGGCCUUCGGGUCGUAAAACUCUGUUAUAAGAGAAGAACAAAUUGUAGAGUAACUGCUACAGUCUUGACGGUAUCUUAUCAGAAAGCCACGGCUAACUACGUGCCAGCCGCCGCCGUAA